GGGUUCUACCGUCGGUCGGGCUAACAAGUCUGUACUGGUGUGUAGAAUUUCUACCUUCUGGGGAACUAUCAUGUUAUUAAUUUAGCGUGGUGGGAGACCAGGACCUUUACCUUGAAAAAAUUAGAGUGUUCAAAGCAGGCUUACGUCUGAAUACAUUAGCAUGGAAUAAUAAAAUAGGACGUGCGUUCCCAUUUUGUUGGUUUCUGAAUCACCGUA
rnacentral:rRNA from 1 species